AUUGAACGCUGGCGGCAUGCCUUACACAUGCAAGUCGAACGGUAACAGGUCUUCGGAUGCUGACGAGUGGCGAACGGGUGAGUAAUAUAUCGGAACGUGCCCAGUUGUGGGGGAUAACUACUCGAAAGAGUGGCUAAUACCGCAUACGACCUGAGGGUGAAAGCGGGGGAUCGCAAGACCUCGCGCAAUUGGAGCGGCCGAUAUCAGAUUAGGUAGUUGGUGGGGUAAAGGCUCACCAAGCCAACGAUCUGUAGCUGGUCUGAGAGGACGACCAGCCACACUGGGACUGAGACACGGCCCAGACUCCUACGGGAGGCAGCAGUGGGGAAUUUUGGACAAUGGACGCAAGUCUGAUCCAGCCAUGCCGCGUGCGGGAAGAAGGCCUUCGGGUUGUAAACCGCUUUUGUCAGGGAAGAAAAGGGCGACUCUAAUACAGUUGCCUCAUGACGGUACCUGAAGAAUAAGCACCGGCUAACUACGUGCCAGCAGCCGCCGUAAAAC
rnacentral:rRNA from 1 species